UUGAAGAAGAAUGGUGGUAGUUUAUUUCUAAUUUUUAUGGAUACAUAAUAGUUGUACAUAUUUAUGGGGUACAUAUAUUUUGAUACAAACAUACAAUGUGUAAUAAUCAAAUCAGGGUAAUUGGGGUACCCAUCACCUCAAACAUUUAUCAUUUGUGUUGGGAAGAUUCCAAAUCCACUCCUUUAUUGUGAAAUAUAUAAUAAAUUAUUGUUAACUGUAUUUACUCUGUUGUGCUACCAAACACUGGACCAUAUUCCUUCUAUAUAUUUUUGCACCCAUUAUCCAACUCCUCUUUAUCCUCCCAUCCCGCAACCCCCAUUACCCUUCCCAACCUCUGCUAUCCUCUGUUGUAUUCACUACCUAUAGUGGUAGAUUCUGAAUGUAAUUUGAUUCCAUGCAUAUUCAUUCUAAGUGUAUUUAUUGCCAGUUUCUAUCUGGGUGGGUGUGAGGCAUGAUACAAUCCCAUUUAACUUAGAGAGAUCUCUGUGGCUGAAUGUGUUGGCUGGGGCAAUAACCAAAGUUUAAGCAUUUUAAGAAGCUACUGCAAAAUCCAGGUAGGCUGUAGUAAAGCCUGAAGUAAGGUGACGUAGAACAAAGCACUAGUUACUGGCUGGAUGUAGGGAGCAAGGAUGAAGUCAAAUGUUUUUUUAAAGGAUUUAUAUGCCUGUAGGUAAAAUGUGAAUUAAGAUGCCUAAAACAUGUAGCCUCUGGCUAACCCUAGACUCCAAGAGAAGCUCCCAGCCAAGUCUCCUGGAGGCCACCGGAAAUAAGUCAUCACACCAUAAUCCACUGCCAAGUAAUGAUUCUGGAUCCCAUCCACCAAUUCACCCACAGACUUCAUGUUCUCAGCAGCACAGUGGUGUGACAGGAAGCAUACUAGACAUGAGAUUUCAUUUAAUGGCCUGAGAAGCUAAGGGCAGAAUUGGGGUUCCAAACUGAAAUACUUCCAAGGCCUGCCAGAUAAGUGAGUCAAGUACGUCCCUUAACCUUGGUGUUAAGGAGACAAUCCAGGGUGGUGGGCCAUAGAGCAAACCCGGGAGUGCAUACCCUGAGCAAGGGUGUAGCCACCCGACAGGUAGAGUCACUCAACUUCACCCAAGUGUUGUCAUUCAAGAAUGUGGGCUCAGUGUUGUCAAAACAGCACAUUUUAAAAGAGCAGCUUGAUAUGCAGAUUUUAGAUUUCCUCAUUUUUAAAUGCUGGCAGUUGUUUAAAACCAAGAUGGACAAACAGAAAAAUAAACCAAAACACUGUCAAGGACAAAUAGCACAUUGUAUGAAAACACAAUGGAGCCCACAAGAUGCAACCUUGGUGCGGAGAUCUGCGGAAAGUGAAGAGAAUUGAGAAGGAAGUUGUUGGGAGGACUAGAAAAUCUAUUAAUCAGAGUCCAGAGCACUCCGCUAAGAGCACAAUCCAGCUGGCGGAAAUGGGAUUUAAGUGGAAAUUCCUCCCUCUCAGUGAAUAACAAAUAUGAUGCGUAUUUCCCUGAUUACGGUCUUUACGUCCCUUACAUUUUCCAACUCUCUUGAUAUCCCCAUUUUGCAGAUUCGGUAGAGAAUCAUCCUCUUGAAUAGUAAUCUAGUUUAGUUGUGGUUUCGGUUUGCUUUGGUAUUGACAUUUCCUAGAGAGCUCCAAUAGACAAACAGAUAAAAGCUGACCUGCUGCAGUUAAGUCUGGGGAUGUGGUGAUGGGAUCCCUGUAUCCCUCUUGAGACUGUCCCUGAGACCUGUAGCUCUAGAAUCUAAUCCUCAUGACCUCUGACGUUCCUCCAGAAGUAAACUGUGUGUGAACUUGUGCUCCCUUGAGAAGCUGCCUUGAGGAAGGGUUUCAAUUCUUCUAAUAUUUUAGCAAGUUUACUCCUCUUCUUUUUUUUUUUUUUAGUUUUGCAAAUUUUCAUGAAGUUUUUAAAAGUUGACUUAAUUUGUUAUUUCUCUGUUAACAACUACCACUAUGAAAACUUGACUCUAUUGAGUUUGGGUUUUCUUUUCUUUUUUUUUUUUUUUUUUGAGACGGAGUUUCACUCUUGGUUGCCCAGGUGGAGUGCAAUGGUGCGAUCUCUACUCA